rnacentral:rRNA from 1 species
GGUUAAGUUAGAAAGGGCGCACGGUGGAUGCCUUGACACUAGGAGUCGAUGAAGGACGGGACUAACGCCGAUAUGCUUCGGGGAGCUGUAAGUAAGCUUUGAUCCGAAGAUUUCCGAAUGGGGAAACCCACCAUACGUAAUGGUAUGGUAUCCUUAUCUGAAUACAUAGGGUAAGGAAGACAGACCCAGGGAACUGAAACAUCUAAGUACCUGGAGGAAGAGAAAGCAAAUGCGAUUUCCUGAGUAGCGGCGAGCGAAACGGAACAUAGCCCAAACCAAGAGGCUUGCCUCUUGGGGUUGUAGGACAUUCUAUACGGAGUUACAAAGGAACGAGGUAGACGAAGCGACCUGGAAAGGUCCGUCGUAGAGGGUAACAACCCCGUAGUCGAAACUUCGUUCUCUCUUGAAUGUAUCCUGAGUACGGCGGAACACGUGAAAUUCCGUCGGAAUCUGGGAGGACCAUCUCCCAAGGCUAAAUACUCCCUAGUGAUCGAUAGUGAACCAGUACCGUGAGGGAAAGGUGAAAAGCACCCCGGAAGGGGAGUGAAAGAGAUCCUGAAACCGUGUGCCUACAAAUAGUCAGAGCCCGUUAACGGGUGAUGGCGUGCCUUUUGUAGAAUGAACCGGCGAGUUACGAUCCCGUGCGAGGUUAAGCUGAAGAGGCGGAGCCGCAGCGAAAGCGAGUCUGAAUAGGGCGUUUAGUACGUGGUCGUAGACCCGAAACCAGGUGAUCUACCCAUGUCCAGGGUGAAGUUCAGGUAACACUGAAUGGAGGCCCGAACCCACGCACGUUGAAAAGUGCGGGGAUGAGGUGUGGGUAGCGGAGAAAUUCCAAUCGAACCUGGAGAUAGCUGGUUCUCCCCGAAAUAGCUUUAGGGCUAGCCUUAAGUGUAAGAGUCUUGGAGGUAGAGCACUGAUUGGACUAGGGGUCCUCAUCGGAUUACCGAAUUCAGUCAAACUCCGAAUGCCAAUGACUUAUCCUUAGGAGUCAGACUGCGAGUGAUAAGAUCCGUAGUCAAAGGGAAACAGCCCAGACCGCCAGCUAAGGUCCCAAAGUGUGUAUUAAGUGGAAAAGGAUGUGGAGUUGCUUAGACAACUAGGAUGUUGGCUUAGAAGCAGCCACCAUUUAAAGAGUGCGUAAUAGCUCACUAGUCGAGUGACUCUGCGCCGAAAAUGUACCGGGGCUAAAUACACCACCGAAGCUGCGGAUUGAUACCGAAUGGUAUCAGUGGUAGGGGAGCGUUCUAAGGACAGUGAAGUCAGACCGGAAGGACUGGUGGAGUGCUUAGAAGUGAGAAUGCCGGUAUGAGUAGCGAAAGACGGGUGAGAAUCCCGUCCACCGAAUGCCUAAGGUUUCCUGAGGAAGGCUCGUCCGCUCAGGGUUAGUCAGGACCUAAGCCGAGGCCGACAGGCGUAGGCGAUGGACAACAGGUUGAUAUUCCUGUACCACCUCUUUAUCGUUUGAGCAAUGGAGGGACGCAGAAGGAUAGAAGAAGCGUGCGAUUGGUUGUGCACGUCCAAGCAGUUAGGCUGAUAAGUAGGCAAAUCCGCUUAUCGUGAAGGCUGAGCUGUGAUGGGGAAGCUCCUUAUGGAGCGAAGUCUUUGAUUCCCCGCUGCCAAGAAAAGCUUCUAGCGAGAUAAAAGGUGCCUGUACCGCAAACCGACACAGGUAGGCGAGGAGAGAAUCCUAAGGUGUGCGAGAGAACUCUGGUUAAGGAACUCGGCAAAAUGACCCCGUAACUUCGGGAGAAGGGGUGCUUUCUUAACGGAAAGCCGCAGUGAAUAGGCCCAAGCGACUGUUUAGCAAAAACACAGCUCUCUGCGAAGCCGUAAGGCGAAGUAUAGGGGUGACACCUGCCCGGUGCUGGAAGGUUAAGGAGAGGGGUUAGCGUAAGCGAAGCUCUGAACUGAAGCCCCAGUAAACGGCGGCCGUAACUAUAACGGUCCUAAGGUAGCGAAAUUCCUUGUCGGGUAAGUUCCGACCCGCACGAAAGGUGUAACGAUUUGGGCACUGUCUCAACCAGAGACUCGGUGAAAUUAUAGUACCUGUGAAGAUGCAGGUUACCCGCGACAGGACGGAAAGACCCCGUGGAGCUUUACUGUAGCCUGAUAUUGAAUUUUGGUACAGUUUGUACAGGAUAGGCGGGAGCCUUUGAAACCGGAGCGCUAGCUUCGGUGGAGGCGCUGGUGGGAUACCGCCCUGACUGUAUUGAAAUUCUAACCUACGGGUCUUAUCGACCCGGGAGACAGUGUCAGGUGGGCAGUUUGACUGGGGCGGUCGCCUCCUAAAGUGUAACGGAGGCGCCCAAAGGUUCCCUCAGAAUGGUUGGAAAUCAUUCGUAGAGUGCAAAGGCAUAAGGGAGCUUGACUGCGAGACCUACAAGUCGAGCAGGGACGAAAGUCGGGCUUAGUGAUCCGGUGGUUCCGCAUGGAAGGGCCAUCGCUCAACGGAUAAAAGCUACCCCGGGGAUAACAGGCUUAUCUCCCCAAGAGUCCACAUCGACGGGGAGGUUUGGCACCUCGAUGUCGGCUCAUCGCAUCCUGGGGCUGUAGUCGGUCCCAAGGGUUGGGCUGUUCGCCCAUUAAAGCGGUACGCGAGCUGGGUUCAGAACGUCGUGAGACAGUUCGGUCCCUAUCCGUCGUGGGCGUAGGAAAUUUGAGAGGAGCUGUCCUUAGUACGAGAGGACCGGGAUGGACGCACCGCUGGUGUACCAGUUGUUCUGCCAAGGGCAUAGCUGGGUAGCUAUGUGCGGAAGGGAUAAGUGCUGAAAGCAUCUAAGCAUGAAGCCCCCCUCAAGAUGAGAUUUCCCAUAGCGUAAGCUAGUAAGAUCCCUGAAAGAUGAUCAGGUUGAUAGGUUCGAGGUGGAAGCAUGGUGACAUGUGGAGCUGACGAAUACUAAUAGAUCGAGGACUUAACCAU